rnacentral:rRNA from 1 species
UACGGAGGGGGCGAGCGUUGUCCGAAGUUACUGGGCGUAAAGCGCGCGUAGGCGGGUUGGCAAGUCCGCUGUGAAAGCCAGGGGCUCAACCCUUGGAUGCCGGUGGAUACUGUCGGGCUUGAGUACGGAAGAGGCGAGUGGAAUUCCUGGUGUAGCGGUGAAAUGCGCAGAUAUCAGGAGGAACACCGGUGGCGAAGGCGGGUCUCUGGGCAAUAACUGACGCUGAGGAGCGAAAGCGUGGGGAGCGAACAGG